AUUGAACGCUGGCGGCAUGCUUUACACAUGCAAGUCGAACGGCAGCGGGGAGGAGCUUGCUUCUCUGCCGGCGAGUGGCGAACGGGUGAGUAAUACAUCGGAACGUGUCGAGAAGAGGGGGAUAACCACCCGAAAGGGUGGCUAAUACCGCAUAAAUUCUGAGGAAGAAAGCUGGGGACCUAGGAAUAGGCCUAGCGCUUUUUGAGCGGCCGAUGUCGGAUUAGCUAGUUGGUGAGGUAAAGGCUCACCAAGGCGAAGAUCUGUAGCGGGUCUGAGAGGAUGAUCCGCCACACUGGGACUGAGACACGGCCCAGACUCCUACGGGAGGCAGCAGUGGGGAAUUUUGGACAAUGGGGGCAAACCUGAUCCAGCCAUGCCGCGUGUAUGAAGAAGGCCUUAGGGUUGUAAAGUACUUUUGUUAGGGAAGAAAAGUCAGCUGUGAAUAAUGGCUGAUACUGACGGUACCUAAAGAAUAAGCACCGGCUAACUACGUG
rnacentral:rRNA from 1 species